CCUACGGGAGGCAGCAGUGAGGAAUAUUGGUCAAUGGGCGGAAGCCUGAACCAGCCAAGUAGCGUGCAGGAUGACGGCCCUACGGGUUGUAAACUGCUUUUAUACGGGAAUAACGCGCCUUACGUGUAGGGCUUUGCAUGUACCGUAUGAAUAAGGACCGGCUAAUUCCGUGCCAGCAGCCGCGGUAAUACGGAAGGUCCGGGCGUUAUCCGGAUUUAUUGGGUUUAAAGGGAGCGUAGGCCGCAUGUCAAGCGUGUUGUGAAAGGUUCGGGCUCAACCCGGGAAUUGCAGCGCGAACUGGCGGGCUUGAGGCCGCGGAAGGCAGGCGGAAUUCGUGGUGUAGCGGUGAAAUGCUUAGAUAUGACGAAGAACCCCGAUUGCGAAGGCAGCUUGCUGCAGUGGAACUGACGCUGAUGCUCGAAAGCGCGGGUAUCGAACAGGAUUAGAUACCCUUGUAGUC
rnacentral:rRNA from 1 species